UUUUUUUUUUUUUUUUUUUUUUUGCUUUUUAGGGCCACACUUGCUGCAUAUGGAAGUUCCCAGGCUAGGAGGAGUCGAAUUGGAGCUACAGCUGCACAAAAGCCACAGCAACUUACAUCCAAGCAGUGUCUGCGACCUACCCCACAGCUCACAGCUAUGCCUAAUUCUUAACCCACUGAGCGAGGCCAGGGAUCGAACCCACAUCCUCAUGGAUCCUAGUCAGGUUCGUUACCACUGAGCCACGACUAAAACUCCUAGCCAUGCUUCUAAAAUUCCCUUGCCCCCCCACCCCCCCAAAAGAGCCUUGACAAAUCAGAAAUGAUCUGGAGAAAACUAUCACGAGCUUUUUUUUCCUUUAUGUUAAAUGAGGUUUUUUAAAAAAUACCAACAAGCUUCUAGUCAUUUAUGGCUUAGUGAAUGAAACUAUGUGAAGAGAAUUUCUGCAUGAAAUAAAGACCCUGCAAUCUGGUUUAUGCAAAUGAGAUUUUUUUUCCCCAAAAUUUGGCUCAUGGCAAUCCUAAAUUAGGCACAAGAAGACAUGCUUAUAGGAAAUAUUGAAAGGGAAACAUUUCCAAAUUUCUUCAGUUGGUUUCCAACUCAUCCCCCAUAGUUGAACAAAUGUUUAAUUUCUCUUUGAUGUCUUUUUGUGUUAAAGAACUACACGUAGAUUUAAGGGCAAAGAACUAGACAUUCCUAACAGCAAAGCCUCCCACUGUGUGACAAACCCAUAACCCAUUGUUGUGGGGCUCAGACCUUUUAAGGGAAAUGGGCUUAGGAGAUUAUUAACAUUCUGCAAUUUGUGUUCCCCUAGUCCCAACUGAGAGGGCUUGGAGGGUGACCUGACCCGGGGGUAUCCAGUCUUCAUAUUGCACAGCAGAGCUUAAAGCUGGGCAACCAUUAAGGAAACACUACCCAAAUGGUGAAAGUGAUUAACUGAGCCAAUCCAAUUCUCAGGAGUUUAAAUAGAAGAUAAAGGAGAGGAGUUCCUACUGUGGCUCAGCAGAAACGAAUCUGAUUAGUAUCUAAGAGGCCGCAGUUUCAUCCCUGGCCUCGCUCAGUAGGUUAAGGAUCUGGCAUUGCCUUGAGCUGUGGUUGCAUGUGUGGCUCGGAUCUGGUGUUGCUAUGGCUGUGGUGUAGGUCAGCAGCUGUAGUUCUGAUUCAGCUCCUAGCCUGGGAACCUCCAUAUGCCAUGGGUACAGCCCUAAAAGACCAAAAAAAGAAGAAAAAAAAAAAAAGAUAAAGGAGAAAAAUUCAGCGGUUUGUAUAAGUUGAGACAAAAUGACUGGAUAGCUAAGGCACUACAGUGGAACACCAAGGUUCUAUACCUACACACUAUACCUUCAACGACUAAUCAGGCUGCCACUGAGUCACCAGAGAUGCUGUCAGAUUAGUACAUCUGUUGUAUCUUGAAAAUACCCGAUCUCAAUGAAGCUUGGCCACGCGCAGUUAAGACCCCUUAUUUUCAUAAGCAUCCUUAGAAACAACACCAUCAUUAGGAAAACCUUGAUGAGGAGUUGGCACUUUUACCUAAGGAAUCUAAUACAUCUGCCCUUCUACUUAAGAGAGAGUGGUGUACCCUUCUACUUAACAAAGAGUGGUGUAAUGUUAUGUUCCUGCAUGUGUUAGCAUCGUAUUGCUGUCUGGACAGGCGAGGCUCAAAUUUGAGCAUGCAUCAGAAUCACCUCGGGUGGAGCUUGUAAAACCACCACCUGUAGGGCCAGGAUUAAAUCCAGGGUUUCUGAUAGGAGCAAGUUAUAGAUAGGUCUGGAACAUUUCUAGCAAGUUUGCAGGUAAAGUGGGAGCCACUAGUCUGGAAACCAUGUUUGAAGAAUGACUACUCUAUCAAAAAAUGCUUUUACCUGAGCCUCAUCUGCAGGUAUUUGAUUUAAUUGGUUUGAAGUUUGGCCUGAGCAUUGGGAGGCCAACACUUUGGCUCCGUGUGGAAAUCACUCAGUUCUAGUGGGCUGAUUUUAUGUGUCAACUUGGCUAGGUGAUGGUAUUCAGGUUUUGGUCAAAGAUUAUAUGUUGCUGUGAAGGCAUUUUUUAGAUGUGAUUAACAAAUCAAAUAAAUAUAUGUGUUUUAAGGAAGGAGAGCAAGCAGCUGUGACCUACAGCCAUAUCUUUAUUCCUCUGCCAAAUCCUUGCAGAAUCUUCUCUAUAGUCCUCAUGGACUCAACUUCCUUUAAAAGACGAAUAUAGCAUGGACUGUAGUAAUUUGCCACUAGAGUCUGAAAUUAUAUAAUAAAAAUAAGAGACAUAAUUCAGAUAUCAGUAUUUGGCAUUUUGGUUUGUAUCAUUUGCCUUUAAGGCACUUAGGAUGUUUGAAAAUUAUUUGAAUACUGAAGCAUUCUCUCUAUGAUCCUAUGUAUCAUAGUUAGAACGUGGUCCUAGGUUAAAUGAUUAAAAACUGUUAAUAGCCAAGUCUGAAUUAAUUAACUUGUCAGGCAAUUAAAUGUAUAUCAUUGCCUCAAGUUUGUGAUUUAUGAUACACUUCUGGCAAAGUUAAAUUUAAGCAUUAACUGCUCCAGUUCUUCCAUUCUGUCCUUACAGACCAUUUAAUUCUAUGUGAUUGAAGGCAUAAUAUGAGGCAGUAUUUCCAGCAGAUGAAAGGAAACUCAGCACAAUUUAACAGCAUCUAUGUCACUUCCAAAUAGUCCCAAAAAAUUAAAUGGCUAAUGAUUUUCUGAUAUUUGAUAGUGUCUUAGGAUGUUCUUAAACAUUUAUUAUAGGAAUAUUUGGCUCUCAUCUUCUUUAUAUUCUAUAUUGAUUUAUUUUUAAACUUUUUUUUAGUUUUGAAAUUAUAGAUUAUCUCUGCCAUGAAUUUCAUAAAUUCACAUAUUUUUGAGGUUUCUGUUCCAAAACAUCUUGGUAGGAAUAUCAUUGAUUUCUUUUAGAAAGUAUACAGCUCUAAAAUUUGGAUAAUUUAUAGAGAAAUAUUCGGUUUGUUGGAUCUUUACUGUUAGCCAAAACUUCAGUAAAAAUAGACACUUCAGAAAAAGAAACUGCUUUUUUACUUCUAUAUUGUUGGCUUUUGUGCUUCAAAACUUAAAAUAGCUGAUUCUAUGCAAUUAAUAAUUGGGAAAACCUAACAAAAUAUCAGUUCACAGGUAUUGAGUCUCUUAGCAAUGUGUUACCUUUGUCAAAUAUUAUCUCAUUUCAUUUUCCCACCUGGCCUACUUAGCUACCUUUUUUUUCAAUUAUACGAUACAGUGUUAUUAAAAAUAGUCACAUGUUUUACAAUAUAUCCUCAGACCUUAUUUAUCUCAUAGCUGAAGGUUUGUACCCUUUUACCUACCUUUCCCAAUUCUCCCCAUCCCUCACACCCACCCCUCACCCCCUGCCCAGCCCCUGGCAACCACUUUUCCACUUUCUGUUUCUAAAAGUUUGACUUUUUUGGACUCCACAUUUAAGUAGUAAUACUAUGAAGUAUUUGCCUGGCUUAUUUCACUUAAGCAGCUACUUUUAUAAUUACGAAUAACAGAUGAAGAAACUGAGGCUCAAAUAAUUCAAUAACUUGCCUACAGUCCCAUAGCUUAUAAAUAGAAGAAAAAAAUCAAAUGAAGUCUAUUUGACUCCAACCUGCAAAUGCCAACCUAUACUCACUAUUCUUUCUAUUCUUUCUCCAUUCAUCUUUUGUAUGCAAAGUUCUUUCUAUUCAGGAUUCAUUGGAGCUAUUUGGUUCUGAUCGUUUAGGUAUUAUUAUAGUUAUUAUUAUAGUUAGGUAUUAUUAUAAGUUACUUAAGGUGUGUCCUGUAAUUAAAAAUUUUACCUACUUCUAUCUGCAGUACUUAGCCACCUCCAUAAAAAUGGACAGAAAAUUAUUGCUCAGUCAGUUCCAGAAUGUCUUUCUGCUUCAGUUCUGAGGAAUCACUUUGAAGAGUAAGAUAUAACCUGAUAAUUGAUAACAAUGGCUUUUCAUUGUGUCGUUGGGCACAGAAUUGAAUUGUCCUUUUUGUUCCAACUUUAAAAAACCCUUUGUAGCCAUCUCCAUUGUAUGAUGCCCAUAUGUCCAGAAGAGGGCAAUGUUUUACUACAAACUUACAGUGAGACUUCCUCCAGCUUACUCUGGAGAGGGUAAGCAUUUAGAAACCAGGUUUCUUUUUUCUUUUUUAUCUUUUCUUUUUUUUUUUUUUCGCUUUUCCAUUAUUAUAUUUUUAUAUUUAUAUCCAUUCUUUUUAAAAAAUUUUUAUUGGAGUAUAGUUGACUUAUAGUGUUGUAUUGGUUUCAAGUGUACAGCCAAGUGAAUCACUUAUACGUAUAAAUAUACCCAUUCUUUUUUCCCAUCUACUCAAACUAUUGAGUAGAUUUUCCUAUGCUAUACAGUAGGUUCUUAUUAAUCAUCUACUUUAUACAGUAAUGUGUACGUGUUAUUCCCACACUCCCAGUUUCUCCUUCUCUCCCAACAGUUUCACCUAUGACAACCAUAAGACUGGUUCUGAAAUCUGUGAGUUUGAGAAACUGGAUUUCUUAAGGUACAGUUGAAGUGCAAUUUGCCCGAGUGGUUUCAGGGAAAAAUAUUUCUUCUAAAUAUUAUAUGGAGAAGAGAAAAUUUUCCACUACAUUUUUAGAUAAAUUGUUCUUUCAGCUGGAAAUUAAAUAUUCUACAGAAGUACAGAUUGUAGUAGAAUAUUCCAGAACCAGUCCAUACUUAAAUUGUAAGUAUUUAUAAUCCAGAGAAAAGAACAUGGGCUUUUCUCUUAGACAGAUCUGUGUUUGAGUGCUGUCCUUAAUAUUUCUUGGCUUUGUGACUUCAGACAAGUUACCUGGUUUCCAGAGAUCUGAAUUUCCUUGCUUGUAAAAUGUAAAGAGUGGUACCUGUGUGAUAGAGAUAUUGUGAGGAUUAAAUAUGCCAGGUUAAUAGUAAAUGGCAAUUUCUUAUUCAGUAGAAGUAGGGUUGCCUGAUAAAAUACAGGAUACUCUGUUAAAUUUGAAUUUUAGAUAAGCAAAAAAUAGGUGAGUUUUUUUUUGUGUUUUGUUUUGUUUUGUUUGGUAGACCAAACAAAACCCACAGCAUAUGGAGGUUCCCAGGCUAGGGGUUGAAUCAGAGCUGUAGACACUGGCCUAUGCCACAGCCAUAGCAACUUGGGAUCCGAGCUUCGUCUAUAGCCUACACCACAGCUCACGGCAAUGCCGGAUCCUUAACCCACUGAGUGAGGCCAGGGAUCAAACCUCCAUCCUCACGGAUACUGGUCAGAUUCGUUUCUGCUGAGCCAC
rnacentral:lncRNA from 1 species